rnacentral:misc_RNA from 1 species
AACGCACGAGACCUGCGGACCUGCGGAAGGAUCAUUACCGAGUGAGGGCCCUCUGGGUCCAACCUCCCACCCGUGUUUAUCGUACCUUGUUGCUUCGGCGGGCCCGCCUCACGGCCGCCGGGGGGCACCUGCCCCCGGGCCCGCGCCCGCCGAAGACAUCAUUUAACUCUGUCUGAAGAUUGCAGUCUGAGUAGAUUAGCUAAAUCAGUUAAAACUUUCAGCAACGGAUCUCUAGAUCGG